CCAAUGUGCAGAGGCUUCUAGCCAUUAAUUAGCAUGCCGGCAUUGUUUGCAUGAAUCAUACCUCCACAGCCCUGUUCUGAUGGAAAGCAGUGAAAAGAGCUCUUUCCAGCUUUCUUCUUCAAGACUGAGCCGCUUGUUCCCCAGCUGCUGGUGAGGAUGUCAGCUCAUGGCUUGCCCACUUACUUCCUCCCUGGGAAUUGCCUUGGCCUAGGAGUGCUGCUUCCCAAUACAGACUAACUUUGAUAACUGGUAAGGAAUUUGGCCCAGAAUUAAGUAAGAGAACAUGAAGUUAUGAUUUGAACAAUCAUGGGUUGAAAGUGAAUUUGGAAUAAUAAUACAAUACUGAGGCAGAAUUAAGUGGAGAUGCUGAGACUGGAGGAUCCAAUUGGAAAAAAAAUAAAUGAAAUAAAAAAGACUCUGGCAGGAGACCAGAGCUACUUUUCUGCUGACCAGAUUACCAGCCACAAUCCUCCAGUUUGCUACAUUAAGCAACUUUUUCUGGAUAAAGAUUGGAAAUUUGAAACCACCUUGAAAAGAAGUUUACCUCUUAUUGUGCUAACUUACUACCCCUCUGCCUUCCUUUCUUUCUGUUUCCCUUCCUUCCUUCCUUCGCUCGCUCCUUCCUUCCUUCCUUCCUUCCUUCCUUCCUUCCUUCCUUCCUUCCUUCCUUCCUUCCUCUUUCUCUCUCUUUCUGUCUUUCUUUCUUCUUUCAUUCACUUUCAAGUCAGGUGUCAAUUUUUAACAGGUAUCGUACUUUGCAAUAUUGCAAUUAGCCCUGAGUGUGUAGACAGGUAACAACAUAAAGUCACUGACCUUGCUUUCAAUUGUCUUCAGCUCAUAAGUGGCCCCCUUGACCGAUAUACGUUUUGUGCACAUACAAAUGCAUGUGAAGACACACAGACACAGACACACACACACACACACACACACAUACACACACACAGUUAUCCAAUGCAGAUAUUCCUAGGUCCUGUUGAUUUCCAAUUGUGAAUGUUGUCAUGUUCUCCAUUUUAAAACAUGCUUUGCAAAACCAAGCUGACACAUGGGAAUUUUAGGAAUAUGUCCUGCAGGAGGCUCCUUGACAUUUUCUUUUUGAAGCCUUGGGGAUGUAUUAAAUGACAUUCAUAAAUUAUUUCUGAAAACAAAGUUCUAUUUUGAGAGCCACCAAAUGAUUUUCUUCAAAUAGUUUAAUAAGAAUAUGCAAAUUUUAAUUAUGUUUAUAAGGAUACUGUGCCUAGAGUUCUGAGAAAAAUGACAACUAUAGCAGUAUUUGCAUUUACAUUAGUAUUUGCUUAUCGAGCUAAAAUAUUUGAAUAAAUACCAUUAUGUAUGCCUAGAUAAAUUUCUAAAGGGAAGCAUCUGAGUAGCAUGACCAGAGGGUUUAGUUUUAUCUGUUUGUUCUUUUUAUUUUUUCAGGAGAGAUUUUCUUUACUUUGUGGGGUCCUAGAAACUGAGUAAUUCUGUCUAUCAAGAAAGAAGAAAAUCAAAUUUAUGUGUCAAAUAUCAUAAAGUAAUAGAAAAUAUUACCUGUCAAUACUUUACAAUGGAAAGUUAUAAUGAAGGUCAUUGUACAAUAAUAAAACUAUAUUCGUUUUUA